rnacentral:misc_RNA from 1 species
GGCCAUAGCUCAACUGGAAAACCGCGAGCUUUGCAUUCAUGAGGUCGUCGGUUCGAUCCCGUCUGGCUCCACCAGAUGGUUUGAUCAUCGACUGAUCAUGCACCUAAAUCGUCCGCGAAACAUCACUUCGCAUCUUGCUAGUCUGGAUAAACUUCACGUUGCGUGAUUUCUGACAUCGUAAAGAGGAGAUCGAUCCGAGUUGGAUCGUGCAGCAAGCAAUUGCUACGCGAGACUUCAUUAUCUCCGGAUCAUUUCGGCGCUCGUGCGUCUUUCAAGGGCAGCUCACAAGGCUGCUUCUGGAGAGACAAGCGAGUUGUAAAUGAUCCUUUUAGCGAAGCUUGACCGCCUCGCUAUCGGAACGAUCUUACGAAGCAAGCUGGUCUUUCUAAUCAUUGUCCGGCUGCAGAUAGCGUUCAUCGAGGGCGCGUGCCGCAAGGCAGUUCUGCAGACAACAUUCUGCCGAGUGUGUGGACAUUGAUAAUGAGAGCAAUCAAGUGCCUUAAGGGUGUUCGGUGGAUGCCUUGGCGCUAAGAGGCGAUGAAGGACGUGCUACGCUGCGAUAA